rnacentral:rRNA from 1 species
GACGAACGCUGGCGGCGUGCCUAAUACAUGCAAGUCGAACGCACUUUCUUUCACCGUAGCUUGCUACACCGAAAGAAAAUGAGUGGCGAACGGGUGAGUAACACGUGGGUAACCUGCCCAUCAGCGGGGGAUAACACUUGGAAACAGGUGCUAAUACCGCAUAAUUCCAUUUACCGCAUGGUAAAUGGAUGAAAGGCGCUUUUGCGUCACUGAUGGAUGGACCCGCGGUGCAUUAGCUAGUUGGUGGGGUAACGGCCUACCAAGGCUGCGAUGCAUAGCCGACCUGAGAGGGUGAUCGGCCACACUGGGACUGAGACACGGCCCAGACUCCUACGGGAGGCAGCAGUAGGAAAUCUUCGGCAAUGGACGCAAGUCUGACCGAGCAACGCCGCGUGAGUGAAGAAGGUUUUCGGAUCGUAAAACUCUGUUGUUAGAGAAGAACAAGGAUGAGAGUGGAAAGUUCAUCCCUUGACGGUAGCUAACCAGAAAGCCACGGCUAACUACGUG